CGUGUCGUUUGCAAUGUAUUGGACAACAAAAAAAUGUAUCCAAAAACAAUAAAAAAUUCGAAACUUUUGUAACCAAAGAAACUUUUGGGAUAAAAAUGUAAAUCUCCAAAAUGUAUGAGAUUUCUGUAAGUUUUGCCAAAGAAUCAUGAUCAUAGAGAGCACUCUCUUCCUUGUCUAAUUGAACUUACAUGACAUGAUUUCAUAUUAAUCGAGACCUUAAAACAAAUAUCGAUUAUUAGAAAGGAAAAAAAAAGAAAAAGGAAUAGUUUAAGUGAUGAGACAAGUUGAGAUGAUUGAUCACCAAGUUGAAGGCAUGCUUGAUUCUUGGGGUUGUGGUCCUUCUCUCUUAUUGCUUGUACACAAAUAGGGAUUUGCCUUUUGGGGACCUCUCUUUCUUUUCUUCUUUUCAAUUUUAGACUUUGGUAUAGGCAAGUGUCAGUGGUCCCAUUUUUGUUGUACUUGUGAAAUCUUAUCCCUUUAUCAUCAUCAUCAUGAGACAUCUUUUUACCUCUAUGGACCACCCCACCAUCCCCACCCAAUCAAGCAUGAUUUUGUGUAAUAUUAAAUUUUCUUUGUGAAAUGACUUCAAAUACUACUACUACUAUUACUUUCUUGAAUGGAUCAUUUGUUUGUUUACAAUCUUGGAUACAUUAUUCAUUCUCUACAAAUUAGCCUAAUUUGCAAUAUGAAGAAAAAAAAAUGGCAUCUACUAGUAAUAUCACUACCUUUUUUUUUUGUAUGGAUUAUGUGGGAGUAAGUCAUUUAGCUUUUAGUUUUACUAUAUCAAAGUUACUAAAAGAAAAUCAUAUUUGGUUUCUCCUAGUGACUUUUCGUAUUGUUUAAGCAACUUUUUGUAAUGAACUAUGUAAAGUUGAAUGAUUUUUGCGUUGUAAAGUAAAAGUUUGAGUGACAAUUUAUGAAAUUAUUACUAUAUGAUGUUGAAGAGUGAGUCAAAUUUUUGGAACUUAAGAUGUGGUGUGAAGUGUUGAACCACAAUGUUUUUGUGUGGAAAAAAAAAAUGGAAUUUGGACUUUUAUUUUUGUUCAUUGGUCAAUCACGUGUGAGAAAAGAAUUUGCUUUUGGCCAAAAUAUGAAAAAAAAAUAUAUAUAAAUGUAUGAAUAUUAGUUAGGAGCAGUGUAGUUGACUUUGUCAACUUGAAAAAUUUAGAUGCUUUUUAUAUUGGCUUACCUCAUUUAACUUUUUUCUAAUCGUGUAGGGUAGGGAGCUUGCUUUGUUUUUUCUCUUUCCUAUUGUUUUCUCAAUUAAUUUUUCGAGUUUAAGUUAUAUAUAUAUAUCGUACAUGUAAUAAGCAUCUAUGAUAGACAUUAGGUAAUAUGCAAUUAUAAGUAUAUGAAGGUAGGAUCAAACUAAUAUUCUGCUUGUGAGCGUAAUGGAUUUUGUCAAGAACUUGGGCCUGCAUCUGUUUACUAAAUGAGUAGAACUAUCUCUAUGGUUUUGGUCCAUUAUCAUAAAGCCCAAAUGGACAUUGAGAAGGAUAAACUCCUUUAUGGCACUAGCUCACCUUGACUACACUCAUCUCUCCACCAUGUAUAUAAUCAGGCAAACAAAAGUGGAGUAUACGACGAUGGUACCCGUUGAAGAAAGGUUGUAGGUGAUGAUGUAUUCUGCUUCUUGUCUAGGGAGGGGAGUCGAAAUCCUUUCUAUCGAUUCUUGCAUGGUAGCUGGUACAAGACGAUGAGACACGAACCAUUUUUUUGGAACCUGUUCUCUUAAUAGGUGGCACAACGACUCUGUGUGUGUGUGUUAAAAGAAAGACCAUUGUCCCUCUUUCUAAUUUGACACCCUGAACAAAUAACAAAUAUGGACUUCUCAACUUAAAAGCUCUGCAUUAUGUAAAUCCUCUUCUGUCAAUGUAACAUGCAGAAAAGAGAAACCUUUACAAGUAACGGUAACAAUGUGGAUAUGGAAAUAAAAUGAGGAACCUGAACAUAUCAAGGUAGGCUAGGAGAAAGUGUAGGCUUUGCUACUUUGAGUUCUCCACAAUCACUGAUAUAAACAGUCUUGAGUGGUUUAUUCCA